CAUGUGCAUCACAGUUAUAAUAAGAUUCAAUGCUUUUGACUUAAAGGAAAGUAAAAAUCAAAUCGAGACUAAAACUCUUAAAUUAAUAAAGAAAACAGCGUGUGUCAUUUAAGUGCCUCCCAACCCAGUAGCGAAGACGCCAAAUGGAGAGAUCAAACUCAAGAUACUGCCUGGGGCUGCCAAGGGCAGUUACAAGCAAAUUUCUGGGCAGUCGGGGGGCGGAGGCGCCCUGACCUGGGGCAGGAAGGAGGCAGCAGAGCCUUCCUGGAGCAGGCGCUUUGAGUCCCAAGGGAUGAGAUGAAGUCAGUCCUGCGAAUGACGUUACGUUGGGCCUGAAAGCAAGGGCCUUAUGCCUUUGCAGACAAGGGUUUGGAUCUGAACUCCAUCUGCCAUUGAUCAUUUAAUUCUGCGUGGUCCUUCCUAUCUGAGCCUCAAACUCUUCCCCUAUAAAUCUGGGGAUGAAGUGAUUUCUGUCUACUUCUGUCCAUUUUCUAUCAUCAUCUACCUACCCACUAUCUACCUGUCAUCUAUCUAUCUAUCUAUCUAGCCAUCUAUCUAUCUAUCUAUCUAGCCAUCUAGCCAUCUGUCUAUCUGAUCUUAUCUCCUAUCUUCUACCUCCACAAUAGACAAAUGUAGAUGCAGAUAUAGACAAGGCCACAGACACAGAUUCAUACUCUCCACCUCCUUCCACGUACCAGCUUCACUCAUCUUCCUUCCCUUGCCCACUGCCACCCUUUCAAGAUGACGUUUCACUCGCCUGUGUGCUGGGCUAACAGCCACCUCCUGCAGUCUGCAGACUGAGCAGGCUACCUGGCGGCAGGCCUUUCUCGGACCGUCUGCUGAUUAUCACAGACAUGUCUGAGCAAAGGAGAGACGGCCAGUCCUCUACCUGAACCUAUUUUCCCUGUGCCACAUUUGUCAGAAUCCACGAGUUGACUUAGAAUGGGCCGGGACAGACGCUUGCCUGCGAGGAGGAGACCCUGGGAACCAGCCAAGGAGGGUUACGUAAGGAUGAGGGUGAGAGAAACUGACCAAAUGAGCAGGCCUGUAAACUCCUCCGAGUCUUUAACUCGGGCCGCUUUUUAAAAAUACAUUUCCGGCUUGAAUUUCCACAUCAGUAAGUAAUCGGAGGAGUUCCCACUGUGGCACAGAGGGUUAAGGACCUGGCAUUGCCAAAGCUAUGGCACAGAUUGCAGCUGUGGCUCAGAUUUAAUCCCUGGCCCAGGAACUUCCAUAGGCCAUGAGUGUGGCAAAAAAAAAAAAAAACACAGACAAAAAAAACAAACCACCACCACCAACAAAAUUUAGUGGAAUUAUUUUCUCGAACCCUAAACUGCCUCUAUCAAUUGGCCAUGGAUCAGCCCAAAUUUGCAGUGCUGGUUUGGCACAAAAAAGGAAAUGAGACAAAUAAAUCUGUGCAUUAUUUUCCCUCCAAAUAUAGUCAUAGUCCUCUCAGUCUUGAGCCAGGGAAAACAAUAAACUAAGGUGGCUGACGUUGAGGGCAGGCUUCUUCCUGCCUAACAAGGAAUUGAGUUCCGUAUUUGCUUUUCAUAAUGAUGUCUGCAUUUCCUUAGUUACUACAUAAGGCCUGCCUUGGCAUCUAUUUUUCUAUUCUACAGUACUUAGAAGUUGGGCUUUUAGAGAAAAACAAAAUGAAUGGUAUAUUUUCACUCCCUGAGAAACAGAAUCAGAAGCCCUCAUGACAGUAGCACGGAAGUUGGUGCGACACUUCUGGCAACCUUACCGUAACUGGUGGUGUCAUUCUUUUACGUUACGUCACUUUAGCUUGUGGCUCGUGCUGUUUUCAUUGUGAUUUCAACGUGCAUUUCCCUGCCGACUAAUACAUCUGAGGCCCUGUUCACGUGCUUAGAGAGCUUAUACACAUCCACAUUUGCGACAUGUGUGAUACUAUCUUUUGUCCCAUUUUUAAUUAGGUUCUUUUUCCUCAUGUUAUUGAAUUGCCAAACUUCUUUGUAUAUUGCGGAUAGAAUGUUUUUUGUCAGAUCUAUAUUGUGCGAUAUGUUUUUCUAUCUUUGGCUUCCCUAUUCAUGUUUUAAAUGGUGUUUUUGAUGAGAAAACUAUUCUUUUCAGGUUGUCAUUUUCUGUUUCCUGCAUAAGAAAGUCCCUGUUUCUUUGGGCCCCAACAAAAAUGGUCUUUCAUGGUUUCCCCUAGAAGCUUUAUAGUUUAGUUGUUUUGUUUAGCUAUGAUUAGAUGAUUCACCUGGAUUUCAUUUCUUUAUAUGGUGAGAGAUAGAGAUAGAGGUGUUGGGGGUUUUGUCUUUUGCACGUAUAUCUAGUUGUUUCAGCACCAUUUUGAAAAGAUGCUCAUUUACCCACGAGAUGACAUUUGCAUCGCUGUCCAAAAUCCAAUGAGUGUAUUCACUGGGUCUGUCCAUGAACUUCCUCUGCUGACCUACUGGCUGACCUUUAUGGCAGCACCACUGUCUCGAAUGCUAAAACCAACCAAGGUAAGCACCUUACCUUUGCUCUACUUUUAUAAGAUUACUUUGACUCUCCAAAGUCCCUUGCAUUUCAAUAUAAAUUUUAUAAUCAGUUUAUAAAUUUCUACAAAAAGUCUGUUGGACUCACAACCGGAAUUGAUUGCUUAUAUACAAUAAUCUUGAGACGGUUUAUGUUUCAACAAUUUCCAAGCUUCCAAGCCAUGAACACAGCAUAUUUCUCCCCUGACUUUGGUCUUCUAAAAAUGUCUUUCAGAGAAAGGCAAAUACCAUAUGAUAUCCUUUCAUGUGGAAUCUAAAACACGACACACAUGAACUUAUCUUUGAAACAGAAACAGACGCACAGAGAGAACAGCCUUGCGGUUGCCAUAGAAGAAGGGGGCGUGGGGAGGGCUGGACUGGGAGUUUGGGAUUAUCAGACGCAAACUAUUACAUAUAGAAUGCAUCAACAAGGACCUACUAUACAGCACAGAGAACUAUAUUUGAUAUCCUGUAAUAAGCAUAAUGGAAAAGAGUAUUAAAGGAAUAUUAAUUUUUUUAAAUUAGAAAAAAUGUCUCUUAGUAACUCUAAUUUUAAAUGUAGAGAUCUUGCUGGCCUUUUAAAAAAUUUCUUAUUAAAUGCUUUUUUACAUAACUGUAAGGAAUAAUGUUUUUGCUUUUCUUUUUUGAUUUUUUUCCUGCCAGUAUGUAAAAAUACAAUUGAUUUUGGUAUUUGGCUUUGUACCCCUCGAUGUGGCUAUAUUCAUGUAUUCACUCUACUGGUUGUAUAAUAGAUUUCUUAGGAUUUUCCAUGUAAAUAGUUGAUCCUGUGAAAAGAGACUGUUAGGCUUGUUACUUUCUAUGUCUCCUCUUAGUUCUUUUUCUUGCCUCCUUUCUCUUCGAAGGCCUGCAGUAAAUCACUGCACAGAAGUGCCCUGUUCCAGAUCGUAAAGGGAAAGUCUUCAGUAGUUGCCGGCUGAGUAAGACGUAAGCUGAACGUUUUUCAUUUAUGCCUUUGGUCAAUUCGAAAGUGUUCCCCGUCUUAAUGGCGAAGAGUUUAGAUCAUAGAAGGGUACUGCAUUUGCCAACUGCCUUUUCCAUUUAUUUGAAUUUUCAUAUAGCUGCUCUCCUUUAUUCCAUAAACCUUGUGGACCAAAUUGAUUCAUUUUCACAUUAAAUGCACCCUACAUUCUUGGAAUAAACCCAAUGUGGCCAAAUAUUAUCUCUGGUAUGUACUGGUAGAUUUAACUUGCUGAGAUUUUAGGGAGGAUUUUACAUCUCAAUUCCUUAAGAAUAUGGGUCAGGGGUUUUCUUUAUUUUGAAUAUUUUUUUACUCGAUUUUGGCAUCUGGCUUAGGCUGGCCUCAGAAAAUGAGUUGAGAGGUAUUCUUUACGCCUCUAUUUUUUUGUAAUGGUUUCUGUAAGAUUGGUGUUACUUCCCCCACUCAUCAUCACCAAUUCAUUCUAAGAGGAUUUGUUACUCUUUUAGAUUCUAUUUUCAACCAUCUAUCACACAUACUUCCUCAUGAUCGUUAACGCCUUCCCAAUAAAGGCACCACCACAUCACUGUGGCACGUCUAGUAAUUCUCUGGUUCUUGCGUGUGAUAUUAAUGUGACCACUCCAGUCUUAAGUACUUGCAAGAAGAGUGUAUCUUUCAAAGCCUUUUAGCCUGUAUGUCUUUAUAUUUAAAGUGGGUCUCUUGGAAAUAAGAGAACAGUGGUUCUCUUGUAACGGGGUAUUGCUGUAUUCAUUCCAUUCAUUUUAACUUUUUUUUUAAUGGCUGCACCUGCAGCAUAGGUAAAUUCCCAGGACGGAGAUUGAAUGGAGUUGCGGCUGCGACCUAUGCCGCAGCUGCAGCCAUGCUGGAUCCUUUAACCCACUUCACUGGGCAGGGGUCAAACCUGCACCUCCAUAUCCACCUGAGCUGCCGCAGUCAGUUUCCGAACCCACUGUGCCAUGGCAGGAACUCCGUUGUAACAUAAUUAUUAACAGGGCUGGGUUUAGGUCUACUGUGUUGCUGCUUGUUUGGUCUGUCCCAUCUGUUCCAUGUUCAUCUGUUCCUUCUUCUUUCCUUUGGGUCAAUUGAACGUUUUAGAUUCCAUUUCAUUUCGUCUAUUGGCUUCCAAGCUCUAUCUCUGCGUUGCUAUGCGGGUGACUGUAUUGGCGAUUACAAGACACAGCCCUAACUUUUCCACCUAAUGCAAUGUGAGAGCCCAGUGUCCCUGCCCUGAGCGGCAGCUGCUGCAGUCUCUGUUCGGCUCCUGUGUCUUCAGCUGCAUCCCAGGGAUCUGUCCUGUUCAUGCUGAUUUCGAGAAUCAGUCUGGGGUUGGUACAGAGUUGAUAUUUGGUAUUGGGGACGCUUCCUCUGUGGCUCUGUCCUUCUUAGCCUUUCCCUUCCUCCUCUUCUAGUGACUGCUGGGUCAGUGAAUUCCUUUCCUGGGGGUACAGUCCUGGGAAACUUCAGGAUUCCUCCUGCAUUUCAUCCAUCCCUCUGAGACUGACUGGUCUUUCCUAACACCCACAACCAGAAAAUUCAUCAGGUGCUAUCCCUUUGCUUCCGAGCGCUGACUCCUGUCUGAUGCUGCUUCUUUUCUGCACUCCCCAGUGACUUCAGGAAGUUUUGUUUUAUAGUUUACCCAGAGGGUGUAGGGUUAUCUUGGGGAUGUUUGGCUUGAGAGGAGCUACUCGACUCUCCAGGAAAGUAAAACUCUAUUAUUCCAUUGCAAAGUUGAGAAAGACUGAGGCACAGAGUUUAAGUUACUUUCCUAAGGCUUACCAUUUCAGGGGGAUAUUGGCAGAGCAAAGACAAUGCAUUUCUCAGUUGGUAGGAAUUAUGUCUGGGCUACUUAUGAGGAGUCCUUAGUCACAACUGUCUUCAUUUCCACGCCUCCAACCAGCCCACCAGGACAGACACACAUGGACAUAGACUGUCCUGGACCUUAGCAUCCUCCACCACAAGUUUCUGGAGCCCCACCCUGCUGGGAGCACAGAGGGGCACAAGGAAGGAGGAGGAGGAAGAAGGCGAGCACAGAGGGCUGAGCCAUGGACGGUUCAAACACGAAACCUGGAGGUGGAGUGCUGUCCCGGGCAUUGAGACUGUUCAUGCUGUAGCGUCAGGUAAGAGCAAGUUCUGAAAAGCUUCUGUUCUUCAAUUCUUCAAUUCUAAAACGUUUAGUUACUUCCAAGAAGGCAGAUAAACAGGCAACACGAUUCAUUGCAAAAAUCCCCGAAUAACCACACCAAGACAAAACAAAAACAAACAAAAAUAACUUGCUAAGCAGAAUAAUUUCUCUUUUUUGAAAAUAUCCAGGCAGCAAGUAGGAACACGCCAAAGAAAUUUCGGGGUAAGGCAAGGUGGCAAUAAAGAGCUGAUGAUGUUAGGAAAACCUCAGUGCUGUAUUUAUAUAACUUUCUAAAGAAAAAGGCGCCUUCCAGACUUCUCUUUCAUUUUCGCCACUAGCACCAUCUCAGAGCACGGGUUCACGCUUCAGAAGGUGGCCUCUCCAGAACAUUCACGAGGUGAUCCCAGAUGCACUCAGUGCCAAGAAA
rnacentral:lncRNA from 1 species